rnacentral:rRNA from 1 species
GGUGAACGCUGGCGGCGUGCUUAACACAUGCAAGUCGAACGAAGCACUUUAUUACGAUUUCUUCGGAAUGACGAUUUAGUGACUGAGUGGCGGACGGGUGAGUAACGCGUGGGUAACCUGCCUUAUACAGGGGGAUAACAGUUAGAAAUGACUGCUAAUACCGCAUAAGCGCACAGGAUUGCAUGAUCUGGUGUGAAAAACUCCGGUGGUAUAAGAUGGACCCGCGUCUGAUUAGCUGGUUGGUGAGGUAACGGCCCACCAAGGCGACGAUCAGUAGCCGACCUGAGAGGGUGACCGGCCACAUUGGGACUGAGACACGGCCCCAAAAUCCUACGGGAGGCAGCAGUGGGGAAUAUUGCACAAUGGGGGAAACCCUGAUGCAGCGACGCCGCGUGAGCGAAGAAGUAUUUCGGUAUGUAAAGCUCUAUCAGCAGGGAAGAAAAAAUGACGGUACCUGACUAAGAAGCCCCGGCUAACUACGUG